UGGGGAAUAUUGGACAAUGGGCGAAAGCUGAUCCAGCAAUGCCGCGUGUGUGAAGAAGGCCUUCGGGUUGUAAAGCACUUUAGGCUGGAAAGCGGUACCAGCAGAAUAAGCACCGGCUAACUCUGUGCCAGCAGCCGCGGUAAUACAGAGGGUGCUAGCGUUAAUCGGAUUUACUGGGCGUAAAGCGUGUGUAGGUGGUUCAUUGCGUCGGUUGUGAAAUCCCCGGGCUCAACCUGGGAACUGCUUCCGAUACGGAUGGACUAGAGUACGGUAGAGGGUGGUGGAAUUUCCGGUGUAGCGGUGAAAUGCGUAGAUAUCGGAAGGAACAUCAAUGGCGAAGGCAGCCACCUGGGCCUGUACUGACACUGAGACACGAAAGCGUGGGGAUCAAACAGGAUUAGAUACCCCUGUAGU
rnacentral:rRNA from 1 species